rnacentral:lncRNA from 1 species
AUUAUGAGUGUGACAGGCUGUGCUCAGGGAACCAUAGCGCUCCAGAGCUGUUUGGGAGAUUUUCUCCUGGCUGGGAAAUACUUUUUGAAAGUCACUUUCUCCACUAGAAGAUAUAUCAGGGUGCUUUACACAUCCUCUGACCCAUUAAAAUCAAUCUGA